UCACUCAAUUGAGCAAAAUAAAUAAGGGUACCUUAGUCUUGGGAGUGUGCAGUCUGUAGCAAAACAGAAAUGAAUGGAGCAGGAUCAGAACACGUAGUCGAAGCCAGGUAAUCGCGGGACAUGCACACAUACUAAGGGUAUAAACCAGCAGCAAGUUAACUGAAAACAGGUGUAUAAAUACAGGACUGGACGGAGCGAUAAUGAACAGCAGGUGAACGGUGUGGAGACUGAUUGUCCAGGGGAUAAUGAGCACAGCAAUGAAAUGGUGCCACAUUCACAUCCAAAGUGAAUUCUUUGAAUUUCCUUCCCACCGGUGUGCUACUCACAAAUGCAUGGAAUGAGAGUAAUGCCAGCGGACUGUGGAUAAGAAACUGCUGUGUGUUGUGAAUCCAUCAUACUGAUAGGGGGCUAUGAAACUUGCCGCUCCUACAGACACUGGUUUAAUCACUUCCCUCCACUGUCUGUCUCCGACCAGAGGAAGGAGGGGCUGGAGAAACAAUUGCAUUUCCUUCCAACAAACUGUCACCUUGUAGGGUUCUGUUGAGCAGAACAGCUUUCAGGAGACUAAUGGGCAGCUGCUGGUGUCAUCUUUUUUUUUGGAGUGCAUGUGAAGUUGUGAAGGUGGUGGAUAGGGGGUGGCAGGAGGCAGAUCCGUAACCUGAGUAGAGGUGCAUCCCUAGUUUAUAAAGAGAGGCAGGGCAUGAAAAGAGAUGCUGAAGAAGACUGAGGGGAAAUUAUAAGAUUGAGUUUUAAUGACAAGAAACAAACAAACAAUCAAAAAACACAAUAGGGCUAGUCAGCAAGGCUUUGGCUAAACUGUGAAGGCUAAGCACUGCUCUGACUUUGAUAAAAACUUCUCUCUGUCAUCGCACAGACACACUCCUACAUGUCUUGCAUAAAGCAACAUAACACUGAUAUAUCAUGUUGAUGUUGACCAUACUGUGAUCAAAACUCCUGCCAUUCAUUGUAUUUUAACCUAAUACCAAGGCAGCAUUGUGAUCAGGUUCUAUAUGGUUCUAAUACUUUUAUGCUAUGAAAAUGUAACAGAAUCAUAUUAGUACAAAUGAUCAACUGUCAACAACCAACAAGUGGUGUAGUCUUUAACAGACCCAUAUCGGCCGACCUUUCAACACAGAGUAUUCACCCUGCUCGCUGCACGUUCAGAGUGUAAUGCUCACUCACAAUAGCAUGUGUGCAUGCAGUCCAUGAAUCAUUAACCAUCUGCUGGUUGGGUGGAAUGAGGGAGGGAGGGUUGGGUGGAGAGGUGGAUGACAGAGAGGAAGAGAGAGCAUAGAACAAAGUCUGCUUUUUUAUGGCACCAAAACAAAGGAUCUGUUUAGUUGCCUGCAGCAUGAUGGGAAGAUUAGGAUGGGGGGGUUGUGGUAGGGAAGAACAGAGUAGCCCAGUAAUCAGUCAUGGUGGUUAGCAGAGGCUGCUCAUGACACUGAUAUUUUAUUGUCUUUCACUGUAACUUGGUUUAAUGUUUAUAAAGGCUAUUGUGUAUCAUGAUAAUGAUAUUGUAUUUUAUAUUGUCAGGGAUCAAUCCAACCAGAUAAACACGUCCUCUA